CGGCAAAAGCUCAAAUUUGAAAUCUGGCUCUUUCAGGGUCCGAGUUGUAAUUUGUAGAAGAUGCUUUGGGUGCGGUACUGGUUUAAGUUCUUUGGAAUAUUACAUCAUAGAGGGUGAGAAUCCCGUAUGUGACCAGCCGCCGCGCCUGUGUAAAGCUCUUUCAAC
rnacentral:rRNA from 1 species